rnacentral:rRNA from 1 species
UACGAAGGGGGCUAGCGUUGCUCGGCAUUACUGGGCGUACAGGGCGCGUAGGCGGCCAGUUUAGUCAGAGGUGAAAGCCCAGGGCUCAACCUUGGAAUUGCCUUUGAUACUGGCUGUCUUGAGUUCGGGAGAGGUGAGUGGAAUGCCGAGUGUAGAGGUGAAAUUCGUAGAUAUUCGGCGGAACACCAGUGGCGAAGGCGACUCACUGGCCCGAUACUGACGCUGACAGCGCGAAAGCUAGGGGAGCGAACGGG